rnacentral:rRNA from 1 species
AGUGAACGCUGGCGGUAGGCCUAAUACAUGCAAGUCGAACGGCAGCAUAAUAAGAUUUUUCUUUUACGGGUGGCGAGUGGCGGACGGGUGAGGAAUAGAUCACAAUCUACUAAGUCGGGGAGGAUUUCGUAGGGAAACUGACGCUAAUACCGCAUACGUCCUACGGGUGGAAUCAAUAGAGCAUGGGACUUUGCCUGUUUGAAUGAGACGAUGUCGGAUUAGCUAGUUGGCGGGGUAAGGUCGCACCAAGGCGACGAUCCGUAGCUGGUCUGAGAGGAUGAUCAGCCACACUGGAACUGAGACACGGUCCAGACUCCUACGGGAGGCGGCAGUGGGGAAUAUUGGACAAUGGGCGCAAGCCUGAUCCAGCCAUACCGCGUGGGUGAAGAAGGCCUUCGGGUUGUAAAGCCCUUUUGUUGGGAAAGAAAAGCAGCAGGUUAAUACCCCGCUGUUCUGACGGUACCCAAAGAGUAAGCACCGGCUAACUUCGUG